GACGAACGCUGGCGGCGUGCCUAAUACAUGCAAGUAGAACGCUGAAGGAGGAGCUUGCUUCUCUGGAUGAGUUGCGAACGGGUGAGUAACGCGUAGGUAACCUGCCUGGUAGCGGGGGAUAACUAUUGGAAACGAUAGCUAAUACCGCAUAAUAGUAGAUGUUGCAUGACAUUUGCUUAAAAGGUGCACUUGCAUCACUACCAGAUGGACCUGCGUUGUAUUAGCUAGUUGGUGGGGUAACGGCUCACCAAGGCGACGAUACAUAGCCGACCUGAGAGGGUGAUCGGCCACACUGGGACUGAGACACGGCCCAGACUCCUACGGGAGGCAGCAGUAGGGAAUCUUCGGCAAUGGACGGAAGUCUGACCGAGCAACGCCGCGGGAGUGAAGAAGGGUUUCGGAUCGUAAAGCUCUGUUGUAAGAGAAGAACGAGUGUGAGAGUGGAAAGUUCACACUGUGACGGUAUCUUACCAGAAAGGGACGGCUAACUACGUG
rnacentral:rRNA from 1 species